CCCCUCUCAAAAGGGGGGGGGGCGAUAUUCCUAGGAUAUUCGCCCCCCGGGGCGAAUCUCCUAAGAAUAUCGCCCCCCAGGGGGGCGAAUCUCCUAGGAAUAUCGCCCCCCUUUAGGAAUUUC
rnacentral:miRNA from 1 species